GGCCUGGUGGUCUAGUAGUAUGAUUCCUUCUUAGGGUAACCGAAUUGGAGGAGGUCCCGGGUUCAAUUCCCGGCCAGGCCC
rnacentral:tRNA from 1 species